rnacentral:misc_RNA from 1 species
GUGAAUCAUCAAAUUUUUGAACGCAAAUUGCACUCUUUGGUAUUCCUAAGAGUAUGCUUGUUUGAGGGUUGUUCCAAUAAAAUCGUUUUUUUAAAAAACGGAUCUGAGUUUUCCAAGGUUUCAUGAUUGUGGUAACUUUAAAUUCAUCUUAACGAGAUCUUUUGGAUGAUAUUGGAAAUGAUAAUAUUAUUACUACUCGUGAUUUUCAUUAACAAUCGGUUACCUGUCGUUACUUCGUAUCAUUGGCGCAAGCCUUUUGAUUGGAUCGCAGGAUACAAUUUUCUGUCAGCACC